AUUGCCCUUCAGAGUGGAUCUUCAGUUCCUGAGUGUAAUCCUACCAUUAAUAUCUCAUUCAUUAUAAAUCAACUUGCAGUGUCUGGUUUGAAAGUCAACCGGUUAGAUAUGUAUGGUGAGAAAUAUAAACCUUUUAAAGGAGUGAAAUAUGUGACAAAAGCUGGAAGAUUUCAAGUUCGAAUUUAAAUUAUAUUUGAGGACUUCCCAAGAAAUUAUGUAUUGAGACAAAAA